rnacentral:lncRNA from 1 species
CGGGGCCCCCCACGCCACUGUGGCGGGAGUUUUUAAUGCCACCCACGAGAUAUCAAUCUCUGCUCCCUCCAAGACAAAUGCCGUGUCAGGCCGGCUGCCUGGACCCCUUAUUUAUCACCAUUUAAUAUAUAUUAAAGCGCUCACACCUCUGAUUGCCAAAACAAACAAAAAAAAACUGCAUCAAUCACAGGCCGGCAACAGUCGGGAGGCAGGUGGGGCGCUCAGGGUGUCCCCUCCGGCCCAAACUCCCUUGGCCUCCCUGCCCUAGCAGAGGCCCGGUAUCCUCCUUCGGCCCAGGUCACCCCCUACCACGUGCAGCGAUGCCCCGUGGGCAGGCCAGCUCUCCCCACUCCCUCCCCCAGCGAAGCCAUCGCGGUGCAGAGGACACAAGGCACAGAGGGCUUGGCCUGUAGCCAGCAAGAGUUCAAGAAGACACGGCGGCCUGGCACCACUUCCUGACAGAUCUCCGAACCCAUCACGGCCACCCUGUCCCAGCAGGUGCGUUGGCCGCCGUGGACUUGCGAAUGUGGGCAAUAGAGACAAGACUGAACGUAGCCGGAGGCGGAGCCAGGAUCCUCGGGGCACAGGCGGUGCAUGGAGACCCAUAAAUGGAGAAACUGAGGCCUGGGCCAGGCAGGCUCACACCCUGAUGGGCAGCCUGUACAUCAACGGUCCCUCCACCCCCAGGAGGAAUUGCCCCUUUUCAAUAUCACUUCUCUGCAAGAUGUCGGAGCCAUGGGGUCAAACGUGCCAAGGACGUUCCUGCAGGCUUCGCUCAGGGCAGGGGCAGAGGGGCACUCGAUGCCAGUCACCAAAGGCACUGACAAGUGCUGUUGUAAAGAACAUGACUUGGUUUGAGUCCUGAGUUCUCCAGAUCAGUGUGAGCAGGAGCCCCUUGCUUUCGAAGCACCCCCAUUACCUU